rnacentral:rRNA from 1 species
AGUGAACGCUGGCGGUAGGCCUAACACAUGCAAGUCGAACGGCAGCACAGUAAGAGCUUGCUCUUACGGGUGGCGAGUGGCGGACGGGUGAGGAAUACAUCGGAAUCUACUUUUUCGUGGGGGAUAACGUAGGGAAACUUACGCUAAUACCGCAUACGACCUACGGGUGAAAGCAGGGGAUCUUCGGACCUUGCGCGAUUGAAUGAGCCGAUGUCGGAUUAGCUAGUUGGCGGGGUAAAGGCCCACCAAGGCGACGAUCCGUAGCUGGUCUGAGAGGAUGAUCAGCCACACUGGAACUGAGACACGGUCCAGACUCCUACGGGAGGCAGCAGUGGGGAAUAUUGGACAAUGGGCGCAAGCCUGAGCCGGCCAUACCGCGUGGGUGAAGAAGGCCUUCGGGUUGUAAAGCCCUUUUGUUGGGAAAGAAAAGCAGCAGGUUAAUACCCCGCUGUUCUGACGGUACCCAAAGAAUAAGCACCGGCUAACUUCGUGC